rnacentral:rRNA from 1 species
ACCAGUCGAACGGCGGCACGGACUUCCGGUCUGGUGGCGAGUGGCAGGCGGGUGAUGUAUCGGAACGUGCCUAGUAGCGGGGGAUAACUACGCGAAAGCCCCGUAGCUGUGCCACGCCAUCCGGGAAAACGGGAGACCUUCGGGCCUCGCACUAUUGAAGCGGCCGAUAUCGGAUAGCUAGUUGGUGGGGUAACGGCUCGCAAGGCGACGAUCCGUAGCUGGUUUGAGAGGACGACCAGCCACACUGGGACUGAGACACGGCCCAGACUCCUGCGGGAGAGGCAGCAGUGGGAAUUUUGGACAAUGGAAACCUGAUCCAGCCAUCCCGCGUGUGCGAUGAAGGCCUUCGGAGUUGUAAAGCACUUUUGGCAGGAAAACGGCACCGGGAUAAUACCCCGUGCAACUGACGGUACCUGCAGAAUCAAGCACCGGCUAACUACGUGCCAGCAACCGCGGUAAUACGUAGGGUGCAAGCGUUAAUCGGAAUUACUGGGCGUAAAGCGUGCGCAGGCGGUUCGGAAGAACGAUGUGAAAUCCAGAGCUUAACUUUGGAACUGCAUUUUUAACUACCGAGCUAGAGCGUGUCAGAGGGAGGUGGAAUUCGCGUGUAGCAGUGAAAUGCGUAGAUAUGCGGAGGAACACCGAUGGCGAAAACAGCCUCCUGGGAUAACACUGACGCUCAUGCACGAAAGCGUGGGGGGCAAGCAGGAUUAGAUACCCUGGUAGUCCACGCCCUAAACGAUGUCAACUAGCUGUUGGGGCCUUCGGGCCUUGGUAGCGCAGCCCCAGCGCGUGAAGUUGACCGCCUGGGGGUACGGUCGCAAGAUUAAAACUCAAAGGAAUUGACGGGGACCCGCACAAGCGGUGGAUGAUGUGGAUUAAUUCGAUGCAACGCGAAAAACCUUACCUACCCUUGACAUGUGCGGAAUCCCGAAGAGAUUUGGGAGUGCUCGCAAGAACCGGAACACAGGUGCUGCAUGGCUGUCGUCAGCUCGUGUCGUGAGAUGUUGGGUUAAGUCCCGCAACGAGCGCAACCCUUGUCAUUAGUUGCUACGAAGGGCACUCUAAUGAAUUUUGCCGGCGACAAACCGGAGGGAAGGUGGGGAUGACGUCAAGUCCUCAUGGCCCUUAUGGGUGGGGCUUCACACGUCAUACAAUGGUCGGGACAGAGGGUCGCCAACCCGCGAGGGAGCCAAUCCCAGAAACCCGAUCGUAGUCCGGAUCGCAGUCUGCAACUCGACUGCGUGAAGUCGGAAUCGCUAGUAAUCGCGGAUCAGCAUGUCGCGGUGAAUACGUUCCCGGGUCUUGGCACACCGCCGUCACCAUGAGGUGGGUUUUACCAGAAGUGGUUAGCCUAACCGUAAGGAGGGCGAUUACCACGGUAGGAUUCAUGACUGGGGUGAAGUCGUAACAAGGUAG